rnacentral:lncRNA from 1 species
AGCUCCUGACCUGCACCUUCAGCUAUUACUAUAACCAUGUGUCCUUGUUCUCUCAGUCUUUUCUCAAUGAACUCCAGAAGUCCACCAGGUCCCUCGAGGUAAAAGGGUGACUCAGGAAUCAAACAACAGUCCACAUCUCGGCUCGCAAGAGUUGCAUACAUGGCUAUAAAUCCUGCACAGAUAUGUCACGAUGACAACUAAUCAUUAGUGCCACUGAGUGUUUUAAAAACCUGGUCGAACUAGCAACUGCCAAGAAGCGUUUGCAAAAUCUGGCUGAUCGGGUUGGUUCAACAAGUUGAACUAGAAAUCGACACUACUUUGUCGGUUGGUUUGAUUUCAGUUAUACUUCACUCUCAUUGAAUCAUAUUAAACUGGGUUAAUACUCUUACAUAUAAUUGAUUUAGUUCAUUCGUAAUCAAUGUGAAUUGUGAAACUAACCACUUACACAUAAAUUUCAACACUGUCUAUACCAUUAGGCUAAGGUUGUACAUUACUGUAAGAAUGAGUGAAGCUUACCACUGCAACGUCCCAUUAGCUUCACAACACCGAUACCAUUCUCAGCACUCUCUGCUUCCACAUGGGCAGAAUUAAUGGCUCUUUGUGCCUCUUCAACAGCAGUGUCAAAACCAAUUGACUUAUCAAUAACCUAAUUCAGAUACAUAACAACCUUCAUUAACUAUGUUUAAAUACUAAUCCUUUUUUCAUUUUUCAGUUCAAUGGCAUGAAAAGCAUAUAGGAUUUCACAUAUACAAUCAAAGCAUCCUUACAGGAAUAUCAUUAUCGAUUGUCUUCGGAAUUCCGACCACUGCAACUUUCAAGUCACGUCUUCUAAUUUCCUGAGCAAAUAACCAAACCUCGUGAGUACAAGUCUUUUCCAGUCUUAACCUCCAGUUCCAGAGAUUGCGAGGUAAGUACAGUAUGACAAAAAAAAAAUUAGUCAGAGAUUGAACUCAGGUGUUUCAGAUCGAUUCAACCAUAACUGAAGUUUGUUAACACUUGAGUCCAACCAAGUAACUAACUGGUUACAUUACUACAAAUUUUACUAUCAUUUGAGUCAUAUGUUCUCAUAAUGGAUCAUAAUAAGCACUCAAAUUACAUAAAUUAAUUGCUACCUCAAAAAUCAUAGCUGCUUCAUUUUGAGUUCCAAAUCCUCCAAGUAUAUAAACCUGAUUAAUGCCUCGAUCCUGAAUGCUAUCAACAAUCUUUGAAGUAUCAUGGCCUCCAUAUGAUGUCCCCAAAACGGUUCCACCACGUUUGUGAAUAUCAUUGACAAUCUUUGGUGUUAAUGGAAUUGUAUUUCUAGAGUAAAAACCUCUAUAUCCUCCC